rnacentral:rRNA from 1 species
GAUGAACGCUGGCGGCGUGCCUAAUACAUGCAAGUCGAACGGGGAGUAGCAAUACUCUUAGUGGCGAACGGGUGAGUAACGCGUUGGUACCUGCCCCGAAGCGGGGGAUAACGGACCGAAAGGUCCGCUAAUACCCCAUGUGCUCGGUAACGAGUAAAGGUGAAAACCACUUUGGGAGGGGCCUGCGUCCCAUCAGCUAGUUGGUAAGGUAACGGCUUACCAAGGCGAUGACGGGUAGGGGACCUGAGAGGGUGGCCCCCCACAAUGGAACUGAAACACGGUCCAUACACCUACGGGUCGCAGCAGUAGGGAAUAUUGGUAAUGGGCGCAAGCCUGAACCAGCAACGCCGCGUGUGCGAUGACGGCCUUCGGGUUGUAAAGCACUUUUGACUGGGACGAGGAAGGACGGUACCGGUCGAAUCAGCCGCGGCUAACUACGUG